rnacentral:rRNA from 1 species
AGGAUGAACGCUGGCGGUCUGCUUAACACAUGCAAGUCGAACGGAGUAGCAGUACUUAGUGGCGGACGGGUGAGUAACGCGUGAGAAUCUACCUUCAGGACGGAGACAACAGUUGGAAACGACUGCUAACCCCCGAUGUACCGAAAGGGCAAAUAUUUAUAGCCUGAAGAAGAGCUCGCGUCUGAUUAGCUAGUUGGAGAGGUAAAAGCUCACCAAGGCGACGAUCGGUAGCUGGUCUGAGAGGACGAUCAGCCACACUGGGACUGAGACACGGCCCAAACUCCUACGGGAGGCAGCAGUGGGGAAUUUUCCGCAAUGGGCGAAAGCCUGACGGAGCAAGACCGCGUGGGGGAAGAAGGCUCUUGGGUUGUAAACCCCUUUUCGUCUGGGAAGAACGCAAUGACGGUACCAGAGGAAUCAGCAUCGGCUAACUCCGUGCCAGCAGCCGC